UACGAAGGGGGCUAGCGUUGCUCGGAAUCACUGGGCGUAAAGGGUGCGUAGGCGGGUCUUAAGUCAGGGGUGAAAUCCUGGAGCUCAACUCCAGAACUGCCUUUGAUACUGAAGAUCUUGAGUUCGGGAGAGGUGAGUGGAACUGCGAGUGUAGAGGUGAAAUUCGUAGAUAUUCGCAAGAACACCAAGUGGCGAAGGCGGCUCACUGGCCCGAUACUGACGCUGAGGCACGAAAGCGUGGGGAGCAAC
rnacentral:rRNA from 1 species